rnacentral:lncRNA from 1 species
UUUCAAAGAUGAAGAGACGACAGAUUCUACAGGCAACACAUAAGGAGAACCAAGAUUGUUGAGAUGGUCCGCAGUUAAUAUAAAGCGGUGCCCACGGGGGCACUCAUGCUCAAAUCCAAUGUAAACUGUUGCGUGCUUAGAAGAGGUAAUUGGUCUGAUCUUCUGUCAAAUCCAAUGUAAACUGUUGCGUGCCUAGAAGAGGUAAUUGGUCUGAUCUUCUCAACUCUAUUGAUCUUCAUUGAAUCCAAAUGUGUACCUAUCUGGAAAAUUUGAUUACCUUUAGUAACAUCGUUAGAAAUAGUAAUACUAUCAUUCUUAACUUCAUGAAUAUCAGGAAUUAC